rnacentral:rRNA from 1 species
UACACCGGAAGAUUUAGUGGCGAACGGGUGAGGAUCACGUGAGAAACCUGCCCCAGACUUUGGGAUAACAAUUGGAAACGAUUGCUAAUACCGAAUGACGUCGGAGAACCGCAUGGUUCACUGACGAAAGGAAAUCCGGUUUGGGAGGGUCUCGCGGCCUACCAGCUUGUUGGUGGGGUAAUGGCCUACCAAGGCAACGACGGGUAGCUGGUCUGAGAGGAUGAUCAGCCACACUGGGACUGAGACACGGCCCAGACUCCUACGGGAGGCAGCAGUGGGGAAUCUUGCGCAAUGGGCGAAAGCCUGACGCAGCAACGCCGCGUGCGGGAUGAAGGCCUUCGGGCUGUAAACCGCUUUCAGCAGGAACGAAAAUGACGGUACCUGCAGAAGAAGCACCGGCUAACUAUGUGCCAGCAGCCGCGGUAAUACAUAGGGUGCAAGCGUUGUCCGGAAUUAUUGGGCGUAAAGAGCUCGUAGGUGGCUCGUCACGUCGAAUGUGAAACCCUGAGGCUCAACCUCAGGCCUGCAUCCGAUACGGGCGAACUGGAGUGUGGUAGGGGAG